rnacentral:rRNA from 1 species
AUUGAACGCUGGCGGCAGGCCUAACACAUGCAAGUCGAGCGGAGCGGCGGACGGGUGAGUAAUGCCUAGGAAUCUGCGUGGUAGUGGGGGAUAACGUCCGGAAACGGGCGCUAAUACCGCAUACUAACAGUUAAGCCUAGGUCGGAUUAGCUAGUUGGUGGGGUAAAGGCCUACCAAUGGUACGAUCCGUAACUGGUCUGAGAGGAUGAUCAGUCACACUGGAACUGAGACACGGUCCAGACUCCUCCGGGAGGCAGCAGUGGGGAAUAUUGUACAAUGGGCGAAAGCCUGAUACAGCCAUGCCGCGUGUGUGAAGAAGGCCUGCGGAUUGUAAAGCUCUUUAAGUUGGGAGGCGUUACCAACAGAAUAAGCACCGGCUAACUUCGUGCCAGCCGCCGCGGUAAUAC